rnacentral:rRNA from 1 species
GAUGAACGCUAGCGGCAGGCCUAAUACAUGCAAGACGAACGGUAAGUUGAGUAGCAAUACUUAGCCAAGAGUGUCGUACGGGUGCGUAACACGUAUGCAACCUACCCUAUACAGGAGGAUAGCCUAGGGAAACCUGGAUUAACCCUUCAUAGUAUUAUUGGAUGGCAUCAUUUGAUAAUUAAAACUGAGGUGGUAUAGGAUGGGCAUGCGUCUGAUUAGUUAGUUGGCGGGGUAAUGGCCCACCAAGACGAUGAUCAGUAGGGGUUCUGAGAGGAAGAUCCCCCACACUGGCACUGAGAUACGGGCCAGACUCCUACGGGAGCAGCAGUAGGGAAUAUUGGGUCAAUGGAUGCAAGUCUGAACCAGCCAUGCCGCGUGCAGGAAGAAGGCCUUCUGGGUUGUAAACUGCUUUUGCCAGGGGAUAAAAUUUCCAUGCGUGGAAAACUGAAGGUACCUGGUGAAUAAGCCACGGCUAACUACGUGCCAGCAGCCGCGGUAAU